CGGCCCGGGGCGGGGCUGGCGGUGGGGAGGCUGGAGCGCAGGGCGGCGGCGCAGUGUGCAGAAUGGCGUACCCCGGGCAUCCUGGCGCCGGCGGCGGCGGCUACUACCCAGGCGGGUAUGGAGGGGCUCCCGGAGGACCUGCGUUUCCCGCACAAACUCAGGAUCCGCUCUAUGGUUAUUUUGCUGCUGUAGCUGGACAGGAUGGGCAGAUAGAUGCUGAUGAAUUGCAGAGAUGCCUGACCCAGUCAGGCAUUGCUGGAGGAUACAAACCUUUUAACCUGGAGACCUGCCGGCUUAUGGUUUCAAUGCUGGAUAGAGAUAUGUCCGGCACAAUGGGUUUCAAUGAAUUCAAAGAACUCUGGGCUGUGCUGAAUGGCUGGAGGCAGCACUUUAUCAGUUUUGACAGCGACAGGAGUGGGACAGUGGAUCCUCAAGAACUGCAGAAGGCCCUGACCACAAUGGGAUUUAGAUUGAGUCCCCAGGCCGUGAAUUCAAUUGCAAAACGAUACAGCACCAAUGGCAAGAUCACCUUUGAUGAUUACAUCGCCUGCUGUGUCAAGCUGCGUGCUCUUACAGGUGUGGCCUCUGAGGUUGCUGUUAAUUGUAGUAGCCAGCAGAAUCACUCUGUUCUCUCAGAACAUUUUUUCACAUUUCUAAGUAAUCUGCCAUUCAAAUCAUCCUUACUCAACUUUGCUAAAAUGGUCUAAAAUUUCACAAGCUAACUGGUCUGUUUUUGGUCAGAGUGUGAACAGUAUCCUGUGAUUUCUCCCUAGACCGUGAAACACUUGAGAAGAAUGAAAUUAUCCUUUGGUAGUUUCUCUUACCUAAUUCCUCUUGUUGAAAAGUAAUGUAAAAUAAUAGUCUCUGUCUCACAUGUGCUUCUUAAGCAAUAUCAAUAAUCUCUACUUUUCUCUCUCUUUUUCUUUCUUCUGCAUGUUUUUUUUUUUUUUUUUACUCCAUUCCUCUCUUUAGUUUUUUACCCUUUUUAAUAUCUGGUUUUAUCAUUUUUUUGCACAAAUGCAAAGACAGAUUUUUAAGUAAAUCCUUUUCAUUUAAUAGGACAGAGCUCAAAGAGGUGGAAUAUUUAAAAUGAUCACAGCUGUUUGUCCUACUAAAGACACCAUCCAUCUUCUAAUUAAACAAUAAGAAGUCUGAAAAUAUGUGCUUCCAUUAACAAUUAAGGAAUGGGGUGUUCCUGUGGUGGCUCACUGGGUUAAGGACCUGAUGUUGUUUCUCUGAGGUUGUGGGUUCAAUCCCUGACCUCGCUCAGUGGGUAAAGACUCUGGUGCUGUGGUGUAGGCCUCAACUGCAGCUCCGUCCAACUCAAACCCUAGCUAGGAACAUCCAUAUGCUACAGGUGCAGUCAUUAAAAAAAAAAAAAAUUAAGGAAUGGCCUGAGAAGUCACAUGGCUUUUACUGACUUUGGGAUAAGGUGUUUUCUUCCAGCUACAGGCUGAGAAAGACAGUUGGCCAACUUCUGCAUGUUGUAUUACUUGGUUGCAUAUUAAAUCUAUUCACAUUCGUAUAGUUGGCUUCUUUGCUUUAGUCUUUGUUUAUAUUGGCUGGUUGAACAGUUUAAACCCACUUUAGACUGCAUCUUGAACCCAGUACCAACAUAAUUAACAAUUAUGAUUUCAGAUAAGAUGUUUACACAACACUCAUAAAUUUGACUGUGGUGUUUUACAGACAGCUUUCGAAGACGGGAUACUGCUCAGCAAGGUGUUGUGAAUUUCCCAUAUGAUGAUUUCAUUCAGUGCGUCAUGAGUGUUUAAAUCCAGAGGAAGCUGAAUGAACAUAAUCAACAUUCCAACUGGAACUCCUCUUUGCUCUUCGCCUUCAGCAGUCGUGUGCAGACUUACACAGCCACUUUUCCUUAACAGUUGUAAUGGUUUAUUGCUUUAUGUACAUCUCAAAUUUUUAGUUUUGAUAAUAAAUUCUUUGGAAUGCUAUUAAGAUAAGAUCUGUCCUAUUUCACCCUUUAGAACUUCCUUGAGCCAUUGUUAAUCAUGCCUUAUUUUCUUGCUAAGCUUCUUUUAUGUAAAUUUAAGUGCGCAAAUUGUCUAAGGCACAGUAUGUAUUUUUUCAUUGUAAGAUACUAAAACCUUUUCAUCACACUACAGCUGUUGUCUUCCCUCUUUUACAAGGGCUUUUACGUGGUUUUGAAAGCUUUUUGUGCAGAAUAUUCUUAUCAUGUAAAUAGUUGGGGCCCUCAUGGAUGCAAAAAAGUGGUAAUCCAUAUCAGGAUUCACCUUAGUGGAAACUGAACACAGGCUUUAAGGCUGACAGCUGUUUUGAUGACUUAUGGAUGGACGUAUUUAAAAACCCCCUGAAUAAUUGGAGUGGCAGAUACUGUCACCGAGUUCCUCUUGGUCAUCAUCCAUGUAGACCUUUGUUAACUAUACUUAAAAACCUUGUACAGGUGAGUUCCAAUCGUGGCGCAGUGGUUAAUGAAUCCGACUAGGAACCAAGAGGUUGCGGGUUCGAUCCCUGGCCUUGCUCAGUGGGCUAAGGAUCCGGCAUUGCCAUGAGCUGUGGUGUAGGUCACAGAUGCGGCUUAGAUCCCGUGUUGCUGUGGCUCUGGUGUAGGCUGGUGGCUACAGCUCCAAUUAGACCCCUAGCCUGGGAACCUCCAUAUGCCGAGGGAGCAGCCCAAGAAAUGGCAAAAAGACAAAAAAAAAAAAAAAAAAAAAAAAAAACCUUGUACAUUAUAAGCUCACCUAUGUAAAAAAGAAAAAGACUAAAGGGAUAUAUGAAAAUAUUAACUAUGGUUAUUUUUGGCUAAUGGGAGUUGAGGUGACUUUAAUUCCCUUUAUACGUGUUAGUAUUUUCCAAGUUUCCUAUAAUGUGCGUGCUUUCCUUUUAAAAUCAGAAGAUGCUAAAUUUUGAAACAGUGAUACAUCCAUUUUGAUACACCAUUUGUUCACAGUUACAUUAAAAAAUAUACACAGUAAAAAGGCUGAAAUGAAUAUAUGAAAAUGUUGAUGUGCCUUCCACAGAAGUCAGCAUCCUAGGUUCAUUUUCUUUCUUCUGUCUCCGUUUCCAAAUAUUCUCUGAUAAGCAAGUGUUACAUUUAUAACAGAAGACAUUACAAAAGUUUUAAACUGUGUGCUUUUAAGUAAGAUCUGGAUUCUAAUGCUGGCCUUGCCUCUUCCUAAAUAAGUGGGUUUUGAUCCUUUCAGAUAAUCUCAGAUCCUCAGUUUCCCCGUCUGAAGAAAGGAGGUUAUACCUCUCGGGGUAGUUCUGAACAUGAAAAAGUGUGCUGGCAUAAUAAGCACCAAUAGUGUUUCUAUUCCUUAAAUUUAAAGCCGACCUGGGACCUGGUUUGUGCUUUUUAGCCAAAGAGAUUAACAGAUCAAACAAUGGAAUUCGCUUAUUGUUUCCCUGCCAGCAAAUCUCUCUUAUUUUAGGGCUCAGUGUGAGCGUUAUCAUUCCAGUGAUCAAUUCAUUGUCAAUGAAAGAAAAAAAAAA